rnacentral:lncRNA from 1 species
AAGAAAGAAAGCCUAGAAACUCCCCAAUCCAAAACCCCUCAAAUCACUUAGAAAAAAUAAAAAAAUUUGAGCAAUGAGAAACAAACAAUCACCGUCUUUUUCUACAAGACUCCAACCGGCAAGCAUCUUCAUUCUCCACCAAAAAAUCUCUAUAUUCCGUUAAAUUUUUAGUCUACAAAUCUGAUUUCUGAAGAACCUGUUGGCAGUUGUCUUCUCUUCACGUUUUCGUCAAUUUCUUUUUGUGAUUUGAAUCCCCUUUGCAAAAACCUCACUUGAAAUAUAGCCAUGGAUAUUCUCCUUUUGUAAAUCCUAUACACAGACGGUGGAUUCGGUCACAAAGUUUGAGAUAAACAAUGGAAUAUGAGGAGAGAAAAAUUUUACCAGGUAAAAUUAUUUAUUGGUUAAACCCUCACUCUCAAAUUAUGAAUUUCUUUGUUAAAACUGGCAUAAAUUCAUUUAUAUUUGUUUCAAAACUUGUGAGUUCAUUGCAUCAAGAUUUUAUAAUUUGAUAUGCCAUUAGCGAUGGAGAGAAGCAAUAAUCAUAAUAGGGGCAUUCCAUUAAUCUAUUCGAACUACGGUAAUCAACAAAAUUCAAUUAAAAUCCAACCCACUAAGAAAGAGAAUGAAUUUAUUAAUAUUAUAUUCAUUGAACCCAAUUCAACAAAUAACUGUUGAUUAUUUUAUUUAUUAAAGAAAUGAAGAAAGGAGUUUAACUCAUGUCUUCGCAGAUUUUGAUUGUGUGUAAAUUGUGAUGGGACUAAAGAUCAGGCGUUUAACUCAAUAAGGAUGAGGGAGAGCAUUUUGUACAGGAGCAGAUGCAGCUUUAGUGUUAAUUUUUUAGAAUUUCACUUUUGCAUUUUAAAUUUUAAUUAGCAAUAAAUUAAUAUGCGCCUGUGUGUUUGUUCUCCUGUAAUUUUACCUGAUGGUUUUAAUAUUGGAGCUUCAAGAAAAAACCCCCUUAAUGUGUUGUAAUAGACUUUUUUUUAUCCUUUUAGUUAUUUGCUCAAGGUAGACUUUUGCUUAUCCUCUAUAACUAUAUAUUUGCAGGCCAUUUGUUAUUGCCGAAUCCUUUAUUUUUGGAGAGGUUUGGAAAAAGUCGAUUUUAGUAGUUUGAUUACUAAUUUUACAUCUCAAAAUGUGAUAAGGUUAAAUUUUAUGCUAGCUUAAUCUCUAGGGUUGUGAGUAAAGUUUUAUUCUACUACUCUAUUUUUUGAAUUUUAUAGUCUUCUUUUUAAUAUAAAAGUGUUAAUUAUUUAAAUAUAAAUAUUAUUACACUUGUAAAAUAAAAUAUUAUGUUAAAGGCCUCAUAUUAAUUAGUCACUUGGGUCCUUUAAAUUCUCGGGGCCGGCCCUGAUCCUCAUCUUCGACUACUACCUCAGGUGGUGCAUCCUAAAUCCAUAGAAGAGGCCACAUAUUUGUGUUUUCGAGGUUGUAAAUGUGCUGGGGGUGUAUGGGAUGUCGGUGGCUGAUAAUGACCGAUGGUGUUUGGUGAUUGUAGGGACAUGGUGCUGGAGAGUAGGAGUGAGAGGUGGCGGCGGCGAUGGCGGUGUUUCCCGAGGUAAUGUGUCAUUUUGUUCUGUUGUGUUUUGAUGUUACAUGUGCGAAAAUAAUUAUGUAAUUGGAUACAAAUAUGUCUUCAAGUCAAGACCCUUUUUUACAUUGUCAAAGAGGAGAUUCAAGAUUUUGUAAGUGCUCCCUUUUAAAUCCCAGAUCAGCAUUUCAUUUUAUUUUGUCAUUCUUUUUCAUCAAAUUUCUUUAAUUCGCUUUUCUCUUGUGGUUUUUUUUACUGUCAUUUUUACUUUUGCGUAGGCAUAUGAAGCGGGGCUUGAUUUUGAAGUUGUGAUCCGAUUUCCCAGAAUUGCGAGGAAAAAAGAGAGCUGAUUUGUUGGCAGCCGCAGUGUGGGGGUUCGAUUCCUGAAAUAUAGAAUUGGACUCCUUGUAAGCGUAGUGUACAAGUAGCUCUUAUUUCCUGGCCUGUUGGAGCACAUCUCGCGAUUUACCUCCCUCACAAAGUUCUGGGGGGAGGGGCGAUGAGAGCCCUCAAGGUUGGGGUUUAACAUUUUUAAAAAAGAGAGCUGAUUUGAAUUAAAGCAACCUUUGAUAAUUUUUGUUUUUUAUAUUUUAUUUUUCUGUGUGUUUCGGGGGAUUUGUUGAUUUUAAUUUGAGAAUUCUUCUAUUGGUUCCUAUGUUGUGAGUGAUGUUAUGCUUAUUGAUUCGUACAGAAUCAAGAAUAGGAUGGUGAAAAGUUACAAAAAAUGAAAGAUAG